GACGAACGCUGGCGGCGUGCUUAACACAUGCAAGUCGAACGGAAAGGCCCUGCUUUUGUGGGGUGCUCGAGUGGCGAACGGGUGAGUAACACGUGAGUAACCUGCCCUUGACUUUGGGAUAACUUCAGGAAACUGGGGCUAAUAUCGGAUAGGAGCCCCUGCUGCAUGGUGGGGGUUGGAAAGUUUCGGCGGUUGGGGAUGGACUCGCGGCUUAUCAGCUUGUUGGUUGGGUAGUGGCUUACCAAGGCAUUGGCGGGUAGCCGGCCUGGGAGGGUGACCGGCCACCUUGGGACUGAGAUACGGACCAGACUGCUACGGGAGGCAGCAGUGGGAAAUAUUGCACAGUGGGCGGAAGCCUGAUGCAGCAACGCCGCGUGCGGGAUGACGGCCUUCGGGUUGUAAAACGCUUCCGCCUGUGACGAAGCGUGAGUGACGGUAAUGAGUAAAGAAGCACCGGCUAACUACGUG
rnacentral:rRNA from 1 species